rnacentral:lncRNA from 1 species
UUAAGUUUGGGAAUAUACCAUAUACUAUCCCAUUCCAAGGCCAAUCAAUAAACAUCAUGAACCUGCCUUACUCUAUGCCUCUGAAUUCUAACACUGUUAGUACGACAAGUACGACUAGUUACCCAGUUCCUGGCAUGAUGCAAGUGAUGGCUACCACAAGUGGAGAUAGACCGGGAAGCCAGCCUAUCAUACCUGCAAACUUGCCAUUAAUGUUUGGCUACUCUUCUGUACAGCAACAAGUACGACUAGUUACCCAAUUCCUGGCAUGAUUCAAGUGAUGGCUACCACAAGUGGAGAUAGACCAGGAAGCCAGCCUGUCAUACCUGCAAACUUGCCAUUAAUGUUUGGCUACUCUUCUGUACAGCUUCCAACAUUGGACAAGGAUAACCAACGCGGUGUGGCUUCUCAUCUUCAACAGCUUCACCCUUCCCAUGGAAGAGGCCCUCUGGGCUCAGAUAUGCAGAAUGAUGG